GUGUGGACCUGGUACCUCUUUUGUGAAGCAGCAGCUGAGGAGACUCCGGUGCUCGCCAUGGCCGACGAAAAGCCCAAGGGUUUUGGGGCCUCCAGGUG